UCGUACAAUGAUCAAAUAUUUAUAGGAUGGAGAUGGGCAUGCGUGUCAUUAGUUAGUUCGGGGUAACGGCCCACCAAGACCGCGAUGACUAGGGGAUCUGAGAGGAUGACCCCCCACUGGUACUGAGACACGGACCAGACUCCUACGGGAGGCAGCAGUAAGGAAUAUUGGUCAGGGGGCAACCCUGAACCAGCCAUGCCGCGUGCAGGAAGACGGCCCUCUGGGUUGUAAAGCUUUUAUUCGGGAAUAAACCUAUCUACGUGUAGAUAGCUGAAUGUACCGAAGGAAUAGAUCGGCUAACUCCGUGCCAGCAGCCGCGGUAAUACGGAGGAUCCAAGCGUUAUCCGGUUAUUGGGUUUAAAGGGUGCGUAGGCGGCCUGUUAAGUCAGGGGUGAAAGACGGUAGCAACUAUCGCAGUGCCCUUGAUACUGAUGGGCUUGAAUGGACUAGAGGUAGGCGGAAUGACAAGUAGCGGUGAAAUGCAUAGAUAUGUCACAGAACACCGAUUGCGAAGGCAGCUUAAUGGUCUUAUUGACGCUGAGGCACGAAAGCGUGGGGAUCAAACAGGAUUAGAUACCCU
rnacentral:rRNA from 1 species